ACAGGCACACAGGCCCAGGUCUGUAGGCCACAGCAGCUGCAGUCCUGAAAGGCUGCAACGUCCCGACCUCCAGGAGAGACCAGGCCCAAGAUGCCUCGCCUGUUCUUGUUCCACCUGCUAGGAGUCUGUUUACUACUGAACCAAUUUUCCAGAGCGGUCGCGGAUUCAUGGAUGGACGAAGUUAUUAAAUUAUGCGGCCGCGAAUUAGUUCGCGCGCAGAUUGCCAUUUGCGGCAAGAGCACCUGGAGCAAAAGGUCUCUGAGCCAGGAAGAUGCUCCUCAGACACCUAGACCAGUGGCAGGUGAUUUUAUUCAAACAGUCUCGCUGGGAAUCUCACCGGACGGAGGGAAAGCGCUGAGAACAGGAAGCUGCUUCACCCGAGAGUUCCUUGGUGCCCUUUCCAAAUUGUACCAUCCUUCAUCAACAAAGAUACAGAAACUAUAAUUAUCAUGUUGGAAUUCAUUGCUAAUUUGCCACCGGAGCUGAAGGCAGCCCUAUCUGAGAGGCAACCAUCGUUACCAGAGCUACAACACCUAAAAGAGUUAAUGGUUUCCUGCUACUGUCAGCCCCUGGGUGCCUUUUCAUCCCUUGAGGUUACCGUUGACACUACUCAAGCAAAAUAAUGUCCAGCCAUUGUGGAAGACAGUGUGGUGACUCCUCAAGGAUCUAGAACCAGAAAUGCCAUUUGACCCAGCAAUCCUAUUACUGGGUAUAUACCCAAAGGAUUAUAAAUCAUUCUGCUAUAAAGACACAUGCACAUGUAUGUUUACCGCGGCACUAUUCACAAUAGUAAAGACUUGGAACCAACCCAAAUGCCCAUCCAUGAUAGACUGGAUAAAGAAAAUGUGGCACAUAUACACCGUGGAAUACUAUGCAGCCAUAAAAAAGGAUAAGCUCAUGUCCUUUGCAGGGAUAUGGAUGAAGUUGGAAACCAUCAUUCUCAGCAAACUAACACAGGAACAGAAAACCAAACACUGCAUAUUCUCACUCAUAAGUGGGAAUUGAACAAUGAGAACACAUGGACACAAGGAGGGGAACAUCACACAACAGGGCCUUUCAGGGGGUGAGGGGCUAGUGGGAGGAUAGCAUUUGAAGAAAUACCUAAUGUAGAUAUCGGGUUGAUGGUGCAGCAAACCACCAUGGCAUGUGUAUACCUAUGUAACAAACCUGUACAUUCAGAACUUAAAGCGUAAUAAAAAAAAGAGAAAUCAGUGAAAUGAAAACAAUAAAAAAGUAAUAACAAAAAAGCAGAAGAAAGUCCUAAAGAUGUUAUUUGCACAUAUAUACAUAUAUAUGUCAAUGAUAAGUAUAUACUUAAUAAAUACAGAUGUACAAAUAUAUACUCAAAAAUUAUGUGCUUCUUAACAACUUAUUAUAGUUAUUAUUUUUGACUCUUUUGGCUUUUAACCUUCAUGCUAAAGAUAUACAUGACUUACAGAGAACCAUAAUAAUAUUAGAGUAUUUUGGAUUUGACUAUGUAUUUACCUUUACCAGUGAAUUUGAUACUUUCUUAUAUCUUCAUAUUAGUAACUAGUGUCCUUUUAUUUCCACUUGAAGACUCCCUUAAGCAUUUCUUGUAAGGCAGGUAUAGUGGUAAUGAAUUUCUUCAACUUCUUUUGUUUGUCUGGGGAAGACUUUAUUUCUCCUUCAUCUCUAAAGGAUAGCUUUGUUGAGUAUAGUAUUCUCACCUGAAAAUUUUUUUCUUUCAGCACUUUGAAUGUAUCAUCUCAUCUGUCCUGACCUGCAAGUUUUCUGCUGAGAAAUUUGCUGAUAGUCUAAUGGGAAUCCUCUCAUAUAUGAUUUGAUGCUGUUCUCUUGCUGCUUUUGAAAUUCUCUUUGUCUUCGGCUUUUGACAGUUUAGUUGUAAUGCAACUUGGAGAGGACCUAUUUGAGAUCAAUCUCUUUAGGAACUUUGGAGCUUCUUGAAUCUGGAUGUUCAUAUCUCUUUCAAAACUUGGGAAGUUUUCAGCAAUUAUUUCAUUAUAUAAGCUUUCUGCACAUUUGUCUCUUCUCCCUGUAGAGCUCCCAUAAUGCAAACGUUUGUUUGCUUAAUGAUGUCCCAUAUGUCCCCUUGGCUGUCUUCACACUUUUCGUGUUUUUUUUUUCCUUCUCAUUGGGUAAUUUCAUAAGACCUAUCUUCAAAUGCAGAGUUUCUUCCUUGUGCUUGAUCUAGUCUGCUGUUGAAGCUUUCUAUUAUAUUUUUUAUUUUCUUCACUCAGUUCUUGAGCUCUAAGAUUUCUGUUUUCUUCUUUAUUGAAUUUCUCAUUAAGAUGACGAAUUGCUUUCCUGAUUUUGCUGAAUUGUCUAUCUGUAUUCUCUCAGAUCUAUCUGAGUUUCCUUAAGAUUAUUAUUUUUAAUUCCUUUUCAGGCAACUCAUAAACUUCCUUUUCUUUGGGGUCAGUUACUGGCACCUUGUCUUUUAUUGGUGUCAUGUUUCUUGCUUUUUAAUAGUUCUUAUGUCCUUGAAUUGAUGUCUGUGCAUCUGGUGGAACAGCACUUCUUCCAAACUUUAGAGAGUGCCUUUAGUAGGGAAAGACUUUGACUCUGGAAGGCAUGGCAUAGCAUUGGCCCAGCUAAAGGUUAGGACCCAGAAAGAAGGUACAGCUGCAAUUUGGGAAACGGAGCCAAUAGGGCACCAUUGCAACUUAGGCCCCAGGACACGAGGGACUGCAUGGUGGGGAUUCUGGACCUGGGGAUAGUGGGACAUAGAAGUAUCCCAGAUUCUGUGAAGCCAGGUGUGACAGCAGCAAGGACCCUGGAAUAGCAGAGGGCAGAUGUCACUUGGGCCCUGGAAGGAAGGGAGCAGUGCUGCGAUGAUUCCAUUCCUUGGGGAUGGGAGUAUCUCAGCAGCUCAUACUCUAAUGGGCUAGUCCAUUUCCAGGAAAGCAGGGUACUACAAUUAUUCAAACUGUAGGGUGAGGUGACCCAGCUCAGUCAGUGCUCUGUUUAGCUAAGAUGUAAAAUACCAUGUCAUCUCAUCCCUGAGAUGUGCAACUGAUUUGGUUUGGCCAUGACACUGAUUUCCUGGAGGCAAGGUGCUGCUUCCAUUCAGGAAUGGGGGUGCAUGACUGCCCUGAGCAGCCAAGGAGCCAAUUCUUUAGGAGGCUGAGUGCCAUUUCAGCUCAAGCCUUCAUGGGGCAGGGCCAAAAGCAACUUGGAGGGGUGGGUGGAGCAUCUCCACUGCAGCUUGGCCCCAAGAAAUAGGAUGUAGCAGCAGCUCAGCUUGUGGACGGUGCGCAACAAUUUGGGGGCGGUUCAACAGCAACAAAGCUGGUGGGAUGGAAGUGUACUGUGGCUACCUAUCCCCAGAACAGGACACAUUCCAACAGUGUUUCUGAUUUCAAAUGCAGUAGCCACGUGGGUCACAGUGGUGAGUGUUUUCUCCUCCUCUGUGGGGAGUGUAGCUGUGUGGAUUCCAGGGAGUUCCCUCAGCUGGGCUUAGUGCCUGUGAGAACUGCAGGGGUCACCAGAGGUGAGGACUGUAGGUGCCUAAGGUGGUGAUGGGGGCUGCUGUGGUCCUCUUCCUUACCUUUUCCCUGCAAGGAGAAUUUCCCCCUGGUUCCAACUGAUCCUGAUGUAGGGAUAGGGUGGUGGAGGUGAGGUGUUUCCUUCUGUUGUCUAUGUGGCCAUCUUGGGUUUCUGCACACUACAGAGUCUCUAAUACACCUUUAAUGUAUUCUAACUUCCUCCCUUAGUUAUUUUCUUGUAAAUGUAGUUGCUUACUUAUUGUUUUAGCUAUCUUUGGGAGGGUGGUGGUGAGUAUUGGGAGCUUCUAGUUAGGUUAUCUUACUGAUGUCAUAAAAUAGUGGAUUUCAAAUGCUCUCACGAAAAAUAAAUGACAAAUAUAUUAGGUAAUGAAUAUAUUAAUGAACCUGAUUUGAUCAUUUCACAAUGUAUGCAUGUAUCAAAUUGUCACAAUGUACCCAAUAAAUAUAUAUGUAAUUAUUAUUUGUCAAUUAAAUAAAAUAAAAAGUUUUUAAGA